GGAUUCCUGUGAUUUCUUAGCAGCUCUUAAGGGAAACUUUAAGAUGAAAACUGGGAGAAUUGCGUGAAGCCCCUAUCUUCGGAUGAGGUAACCCGCAGCCGAUCCUUUGUUAAAGUGGAAAGCACUGCUUUAGCUUAGGCAGGUUCAGAAACUAUGCACCCAGACUCUAAUCCAAAUCGGCAUGAGUAAGAUAUAGUUCCGCGUCCCAUGGAAACAUGGGG
rnacentral:ncRNA from 1 species